GGAGAAAAAAUUGUGGUCGGAUGAAACCAAAAUGGAGCUUUUUGGUCAUAAUUCCACUAACUGUGUUUGGAGGAAGAUGAAUGAUGAGUUCCAUCCCAAGUACACCAUCCCUACUGUGAAGCAUGGGGGUGGUAGCAUCAUGGCUUGGGGGUGUUUUUCUGCACAUGGGACAGGACGACAGAACCGCGGUAUGUAUUGUGAAAUUUUGGAGAACAACCUCUUUCCCUCAGUCAGAGAAUUGAAGAUGGGUCGUGGCUGGGUCUUUCAACAUGACAAUGACCCGAAGUACACAGCCAGGAAAACCAAGGAGUGGCUUUGUAAGAAGCAUAUCAAGCGACAGCCCAGAAACCUGUCUGAUCUAGAGAAGAUCUGUGUGGAGGAGUAGGCCAAAAUUCCUCCUGCAGUGUUUGCAAACAUGGGGACAUGCCCCUACGAUGAAAAUUUCAGACCCCUCCAUGAUUUCUAAGUCGGAGAACUUGCAAUACAACAGGGUGUUCAAAUACAUAUUUUCUUCACUGUAUAUUGCUUCAAUUUCUUAUGUGUGUUCAUUUUCUAUU